CACGUAGGGGGCAAGCGUUGUCCGGAUUCAUUGGGCGUAAAGAGCUCGUAGGCGGUUCGAUAAGUCGGGUGUGAAACCUCCAGGCUCAACCUGGAGACGCCACCCGAUACUGUCGUGACUAGAGUCCAGUAGGGGAGCGUGGAAUUCCGGGUGUGAGCGGUGGAAUGCGUAGAGAGUCCGGAAGAACACCGGUGGCGAAGGCGGCAUCCUGGACCGGCAUUGACGCUGAGGCGCGAAAGCUAGGGGAG
rnacentral:rRNA from 1 species